rnacentral:rRNA from 1 species
CCUACGGGGGGCAGCAGUGGGGAAUAUUGGACAAUGGGCGAAAGCCUGAUCCAGCCAUGCCGCGUGUGUGAAGAAGGCCUUCGGGUUGUAAAGCACUUUCAGUGGGGAAGAAAGCCUUGGGGCUAAUACCCUCGAGGAAGGACAUCACCCACAGAAGAAGCACCGGCUAACUCCGUGCCAGCAGCCGCGGUAAUACGGAGGGUGCGAGCGUUAAUCGGAAUUACUGGGCGUAAAGCGCGCGUAGGCGGUCUGAUAAGCCGGUUGUGAGAGCCCCGGGCUCAACCUGGGAACGGCAUCCGGAACUGUCAGGCUAGAGUGCAGGAGAGGAAGGUAGAAUUCCCGGUGUAGCGGUGAAAUGCGUAGAGAUCGGGAGGAAUACCAGUGGCGAAGGCGGCCUUCUGGACUGACACUGACGCUGAGGUGCGAAAGCGUGGGUAGCAAACAGGAUUAGAUACCCCAGUAGUC